GACGAACGCUGGCGGCGUGCCUAAUACAUGCAAGUAGAACGCUGAAGAGAGGAGCUUACUCUUCUUGGAUGAGUUGCGAACGGGUGAGUAACGCGUAGGUAACCUGCCUUGUAGCGGGGGAUAACUAUUGGAAACGAUAGCUAAUACCGCAUAACAAUGGAUGACACAUGUCAUUUAUUUGAAAGGGGCAAUUGCUCCACUACAAGAUGGACCUGCGUUGUAUUAGCUAGUAGGUGAGGUAAUGGCUCACCUAGGCGACGAUACAUAGCCGACCUGAGAGGGUGAUCGGCCACACUGGGACUGAGACACGGCCCAGACUCCUACGGGAGGCAGCAGUAGGGAAUCUUCGGCAAUGGGGGCAACCCUGACCGAGCAACGCCGCGUGAGUGAAGAAGGUUUUCGGAUCGUAAAGCUCUGUUGUAAGUCAAGAACGGGUGUGAGAGUGGAAAGUUCACAAUGUGACGGUAGCUUACCAGAAAGAGACGGCUAACUACGUG
rnacentral:rRNA from 1 species